rnacentral:lncRNA from 1 species
UCCACAACCAUUAACACAAGAUUUCAAUGUAGUAAAACAAAGUGGCGGCGGCGGUGGUGGUGGCGGCGACGAAGGAGGAAGUGAAGGCGGCGGCGGAGGUGGCGACGGAGGAGGAGGUGAAGGCGGCGGCGGAGGUGGAGGUGAAGGCGGCGGCGGAGGUGAAGGCGGCGGCGGCGGCGGUGGUGGCGACGGAGGAGGAGGUGAAGGCGGCGGCGGCGGCGGUGGUGGCGACGGAGGAGGAGGUGAAGGCGGCGGCGGUGACGGAGGAGGAGGUGAAGGCGGCGGCGGCGGCGGUGGUGGUGGCGACGGAGGAGGAGGUGAAGGCGGCGGCGGUGGAAAUUUAUUAUUGCAUAUGAUUAUGCAACGACGAUACCUACGAAGACAAUGACGAUGACCAUGAUGAUAUGUCGUGUUCCUGCACCUAUGCAACCUUUGAUAACAUCCACGAACACAAUGCGCACACGAAGGAAGAGGUGAAGGUGGCGGCGGUGACGGAGGAGGAGGUGGCGGCGGCGGUAAUUUAUUAUUGCAUAUGAUUAUGCAACGACGAUACUUACGAAGACAAUGACGAUGACCAUGACUAUACGUCGUGUUCCUGCACCUAUGCAACCUUCGAUGACAUCCACGAACACAACGCCGACGUUCAUCGGCC